rnacentral:rRNA from 1 species
UUGAACGCUGGCGGCAGGCCUAACACAUGCAAGUCGCACGGUAACAGGAAGCAGCUUGCUGCUUCGCUGGCGAGUGGCGGACGGGUGAGUAAUGUCUGGGAAACUGCCUGAUGGAGGGGGAUAACUACUGGAAACGGUAGCUAAUACCGCAUAACGUCGCAAGACCAAAGAGGGGGACCUUAGGGCCUCUUGCCAUCGGAUGUGCCCAGAUGGGAUUAGCUAGUAGGUGGGGUAACGGCUCACCUAGGCGACGAUCCCUAGCUGGUCUGAGAGGAUGACCAGCCACACUGGAACUGAGACACGGUCCAGACUCCUACGGGAGGCAGCAGUGGGGAAUAUUGCACAAUGGGCGCAAGCCUGAUGCAGCCAUGCCGCGUGUAUGGAGAAGGCCUUCGGGUUGUAAAGUACUUUCAGCGGGGAGGAAGGGAGUAAAGUUAAUACCUUUGCUCAUUGACGUUACCCGCAGAAGAAGCACCGGCUAACUCCGUG